GACGAACGCUGGCGGCGUGCUUAACACAUGCAAGUCGAACGGAAAGGCCCUGCUUGCAGGGUACUCGAGUGGCGAACGGGUGAGUAACACGUGGGUGAUCUGCCCUGCACUUCGGGAUAAGCUUGGGAAACUGGGUCUAAUACCGGAUAGGAGCCAUCUUUAGUGUGGUGGUUGGAAAGUUUUUUCGGUGUAGGAUGAGCUCGCGGCCUAUCAGCUUGUUGGUGGGGUAAUGGCCUACCAAGGCGGCGACGGGUAGCCGGCCUGAGAGGGUGUACGGCCACAUUGGGACUGAGAUACGGCCCAGACUCCUACGGGAGGCAGCAGUGGGGAUUUUUCCACAAUGGGCGAAAGCCGGAUGCAGCGACGCCGCUUGGGGGAUGAAGGCCUUCGGUUUGUAAACUCUUUCGCUAGGGACGAAGCUUUUUGUGACGGUACCUAGAUAAGAAGCACCGGCUAACUACGUG
rnacentral:rRNA from 1 species